rnacentral:rRNA from 1 species
UGGGGAAUAUUGCACAAUGGGCGCAAGCCUGAUGCAGCCAUGCCGCGUGUGUGAAGAAGGCCUUCGGGUUGUAAAGCACUUUCAGCGGGGAGGAAGGCGGUGAGGUUAAUAACCUCACCGAUUGACGUUACCCGCAGAAGAAGCACCGGCUAACUCCGUGCCAGCAGCCGCGGUAAUACGGAAGGUGCAAGCGUUAAUCGGAAUUACUGGGCGUAAAGCGCACGCAGGCGGUCUGUCAAGUCGGAUGUGAAAUCCCCGGGCUCAACCUGGGAACUGCAUUCGAAACUGGCAGGCUAGAGUCUUGUAGAGGGGGGUAGAAUUCCAGGUGUAGCGGUGAAAUGCGUAGAGAUCUGGAGGAAUACCGGUGGCGAAGGCGGCCCCCUGGACAAAGACUGACGCUCAGGUGCGAAAGCGUGGGGAGCAAACAGGAUUAGAUACCCUGGUAGUCCACGCUGUAAACGAUGUCGAUUUGGAGGUUGUGCCCUUGAGGCGUGGCUUCCGGAGCUAACGCGUUAAAUCGACCGCCUGGGGAGUACGGCCGCAAGGUUA